UACGUAGGGUGCAAGCGUUGUCCGGAAUUAUUGGGCGUAAAGAGCUCGUAGGCGGUUUGUCGCGUCUGCUGUGAAAACGCGGGGCUCAACUCCGCGCCUGCAGUGGGUACGGGCAGACUAGAGUGCAGUAGGGGAGACUGGAAUUCCUGGUGUAGCGGUGGAAUGCGCAGAUAUCAGGAGGAACACCGGUGGCGAAGGCGGGUCUCUGGGCUGUAACUGACGCUGAGGAGCGAAAGCGUGGGGUAGCGAACAGG
rnacentral:rRNA from 1 species